CAAAAUGUGGCUUAAUAAAAGCUCUCCGCUUACACCGGGAAGAUGUCCGUGCAACCCAGACCAUUUUGA
rnacentral:tRNA from 1 species